rnacentral:rRNA from 1 species
CCUACGGGUGGCAGCAGUCGAGAAUCAUUCACAAUGGGGGAAACCCUGAUGGUGCGACGCCGCGUGGGGGAAUGAAGUUCUUCGGAUUGUAAACCCCUGUCAUGUGGGAGCAAAUUGAAAAGAUAGUACCACAGUAGGAAGACACGGCUAACUCUGUACCAGCAGCCUCGGUAAUACAGAGGUCUCACGCGUUGUUCGGAAUCACUGGGCGUAAAGCGUGCGUAUGCUGUGUCGUAAGUCGGGUGUGAAAGGCGCGGGCUCAACCCGCGGACGGCACAUGAUACUGGGAGACUAGAGUAAUGGAGGGGGAAGCGGAAUUCUCGGUGUAGCAGUGAAAUGCGUAGAUAUCGAGAGGAACACUAGUGGCGAAGGCGGGUUCCUGGACAUUAACUGACGCUGAGGCACGAAGGCCAGGGGAGCGAAAGGGAUUAGAUACCCUAGUAGUC